rnacentral:ncRNA from 1 species
AGAAGUAUGCAAUAAUAGCUUAUAAGAUGCUUUGGUGUUCCCUCGGAAAAUCCUGGGCAUGACUAAGAAAUUGGUCAUAAAACUAAAGACUAUCAUCUUGUGAGACGCUACUUCU